rnacentral:tRNA from 1 species
CAGAUUGUAGCUUAUUUUUAAAGCUAAUUAUUUACAUUAAUUUGAAAAUUUAUUAUUCGUUCUGA